ACUCCUACGGGAGGCAGCAGUGAGGAAUAUUGGUCAAUGGGCGAAAGCCUGAACCAGCCAUGCCGCGUGCAGGAUGACUGCCCUAUGGGUUGUAAAACUGCUUUUAUUACAGGAAUAAACCCCCCGGACCGUGUCCGGGGCUGAAGGUACUGUAAGAAUAAGGAUCGGCUAACUCCGUGCCAGCAGCCGCGGUAAUACGGAGGGAUCCAAGCGUUAUCCGGAUUCAUUGGGUUUAAAGGGUCCGCAGGCGGGGGUAUUAAGUCAGUGGUGAAAGCCGGCAGCUUAACUGUCGAAUUGCCAUUGAUACUGGUACUCUUGAGUGUAGUUGAAGUAGGCGGAAUAAGUCAUGUAGCGGUGAAAUGCAUAGAUAUGACUUAGAACACCGAUUGCGAAGGUAGCUUACUAAGCUAUUACUGACGCUCAUGGACGAAAGCGUGGGGAGCGAACAGGAUUAGAUACCCUGGUAGACUGUCA
rnacentral:rRNA from 1 species